CCUACGGGGGGCAGCAGUGAGGAAUAUUGGUCAAUGGACGAGAGUCUGAACCAGCCAAGUAGCGUGAAGGAUGACUGCCCUAUGGGUUGUAAACUUCUUUUAUAUGGGAAUAAAAUGUUCCACGUGUGGGAUUUUGUAUGUACCAUAUGAAUAAGGAUCGGCUAACUCCGUGCCAGCAGCCGCGGUAAUACGGAGGAUCCGAGCGUUAUCCGGAUUUAUUGGGUUUAAAGGGAGCGUAGGUGGAUUGUUAAGUCAGUUGUGAAAGUUUGCGGCUCAACCGUAAAAGUGCAGUUGAAACUGGCAGUCUUGAGUACAGUAGAGGUGGGCGGAAUUCGUGGUGUAGCGGUGAAAUGCUUAGAUAUCACGAAGAACUCCGAUUGCGAAGGCAGUUCACUGGACUGCAACUGACACUGAGGCUCGAAAGUGUGGGUAUCAAACAGGAUUAGAUACCCGUGUAGUC
rnacentral:rRNA from 1 species